rnacentral:rRNA from 1 species
ACCAACCCGAUGCAAACUGCGAAUACCGGAGAAUGUUAUCACGGGAGACACACGGCGGGUGCUAACGUCCGUCGUGAAGAGGGAAACAACCCAGACCGCCAGCUAAGGUCCCAAAGUCAUGGUUAAGUGGGAAACGAUGUGGGAAGGCCCAGACAGCCAGGAUGUUGGCUUAGAAGCAGCCAUCAUUUAAAGAAAGCGUAAUAGCUCACUGGUCGAGUCGGCCUGCGCGGAAGAUGUAACGGGGCUAAACCAUGCACCGAAGCUGCGGCAGCGACACUGUGUGUUGUUG